AAAAGUAAUAGUUUAACAUGAAAAAUACUUUGGCUUGGCUUCACGUAAGAAGUCAUUAUAUGCCCAUAAAUCACAGUUUGAUAAUGAGAUACUUUUGUGUGCAUAUUAGACUGUUAUAAAGGUAAUAAGCAUCAAAGAAGCCAAAUCAUUCAUUAUUAUAUUCAAGCCAAGAAGUUUAUCAAAAAAGAGACCUUGGAUGCGGUCCCUAACAAUGAAUGUUCUUUGAUUGAAACCUUGUUGGUUUUCCAUUUUUGAUCGAAGUCUCUGAAAUUAAUGUGAUAAUUUAUUUCUAUGUACGUUAUUAUAUUUUUUAAAUGAAAAAUUAAAAAUUUUAGUUGUUUAUAUAAAUGAGAUUUUAAAUAAAAAACCAUAAUUUGUGGGAUUAAAAAUAUUAAAAUAUAAAUAUACUAUUGUGUGUGUGUGUGUAAACAUAGGUACAUUCAUCAAAAUUAUUGUAUUAAAACAUGGGUACAUUCUUCAAAAUCACAAAAAAAUAAUUAUAAUAUUAGGCUUAAUAACAUUAGUAAAUUUCUUCGAUUAAACUUGAUAUUGAUACAUUUUAAAAUCAAAGAAAAAAAAAUGUACCCAUAUAAGUUUAAAAAUGGAUUAGAAAAAAAUUGAAUAGAUUUUAUAUAAAAAAAAUGGUACAUUUUACAUAUAACAAAUUAGUAUAUUUAAGAUUGAGUACAUUUUAAGAUUAAAAUUUUGAAAAAAGUACAUGAAUGGGUACAUAUAAUUAGCAUGGGUACAUUUGGCAAAAUAACAAAUAAAUUUAAAAAAAAAAUAUGUGUACAAAUACAAAUAAAACUUUAAAAAAUAUGGGCACAAAAAGAAAUUAAUAUAUGGGUACAAAUUAAAACUGAAAAGAAAAUUAGUACAAAUUAAAAAAGGGUUGCAAAUUAAAAAUUGGUACAAACUAAAACUAAAAAUAUAUGAUAAAAAUUUAGUCAUAAAUAUAAAUAUACUAAUUGUAACAUUUUUAACAUUAAAUGAAUAUAUUUAGAAAUAAAAAAAUAUUUUAUUGUUGAAAUAAUUAAUGAUGUUAUUAAUACCCAAG
rnacentral:lncRNA from 1 species